ACCCUAAUUACCCUUCUCCCUCCCUCGUGCCUCCGCCGCCACUUCACCUUUCUCCUCGCGCUGCUCCAUGUCGGCGGCGCCAGCGCCGAACCACCCCACAUCUGGCCACUCCCCACCUAUCCCAGCCCGAACCCCCCAGUCAACCCCACGCCAUGCCCAUCUCCAUUCAUAUCGCCCCAUCGAGCUAUGGCAACCCAAUCCUACCCCUCGAUCUGAGGCGGCAGUGGUGGCGGCGGGACCAACUGCCGGAUUUGGAUGUCCCUGAGGUUGCUGGCGGCGGGCACUGCCCAACUCCAUCUGGCGGUGAGCGGUGGUGAGGUACAGGAGGCGGAGACAACGCCACAGAUCCAGAGUACAUCGGCGGCCCUUGUGGCUGGGUCCAAUUUUCCGUCAGCCGCGCCACCGUCGGUACCCUCGUCGUCGCAGCCGUCUUCUCCAACCGUGGUGCGCAGUCUCCACACUUCGCGGUUCACCUUCUCCGGCCGGCAAGGCCCAAGAAAAAGUGCCAUGGAUAUCACAUCCUGUGGUUCUGCGCAUAGAUAGGCCUCCUCCUCCUCCUCGUGUGCUCCACUGUGUCCAUGGCGCUCACCCCGUACGGUACCGCCUCUCCAGUUCCCAAUCCCACCGCUAAAUCGAUGGAUGGAUCUCCAUGGAUGCUCGGGCGCGGAGGACCUCCUCCCGUAGGAUCCACGGACGCGGCGCACCCUGCAGCCGCUGGUCCAGGAAGAGGGCGGGCACCGCGGCUUGUCCUGCUCGACGAUGGUGGCGGCGAAUGCGUGUGCUGCUCCUCAUCCUGAAACUCCAAGGAGGAGUGCCAAUACAACAUAAGCACGCCCCGCCACUGAACAAUGGCCAUGGCGCUAGCGGUGUACAGGACGUCCUCCUCAUCGAAGCGGCCAUCCAUGACAAGCUCUCUUUGCUGGAGGAGGUGGAACAGCAAGUCCAGCACCCGCUUGGCCCCUGUGUCCUAUUGCGCGUGGACAAGCUCACCAAUGGCUGCGUCUUCCUUCCCUCCUACAGUAGUGAUAUUGGUUUAUGGGAGCAUUUUCAACAACGAAGACAUGUGUUCUCACGACUUUGUGGAGGGGUGGAUCAAACGGCUAGGAAUGUGGGACGACCCGUGAUUGAUGUUCGACGAGCGUUGGGCCUUGCUUGAUGGGGGCGGCGCUGGUUGUAGAGUAGCAUAGUGUUCUUUUUUUGGCUCUUUUUUUGCUCAUGUAUAGGUAUUUUCAAGUGUGUUUAUGUAAUCUUCUUUUUUAAUGACAUGAGCGUAUAUUUUUUUAUCAAAUUAUUAUUGGCUUAAAUUUCCAUUGACCAAGAGAAAUGAGACAUGGGCUAAUGUCCUGACUUGAAAUUA